rnacentral:lncRNA from 1 species
AAAGAGAAAGAAAUAAGUGAGACCAGUGAAUCUGUGAAAACCAAAAUGUCUGAACUUCACCUCUACUGUGACUUCCUAAUUUAGCAGGUUCAUACAAUCCAGGAAUUUGUUCACCAUGAUAAGAAUCAUUCAUCUCCCAGUGUAGCGAACAUGAAUGAAGCCUCUUCCUUGCUUAGUGCCACCUGUAAUAAAUACAUUCAUCACAAACCUCAAGGAAUGUGUGAAGAUAGUGAAUGUCAAGUUUAAACCUGAAAUGCUUCAACUGCCUCAUCUGCAUCCCCUAGUCUCUCCUGUGUCUCCUUCUCCUGUUCAGAUGAUGAGACGUUCAUUCAGCCACCCUGGUCUCUGCAGUUCCAAGAGGACCAGAUGCUCUAUCAAAGAACCAGCGUCUGUCCUUCACCGACUUCCUAAGCGAUGCCGCAGAACUUCCUCCUACACAGUCUCUUGUAAUGAUGUUCCCCCUGAGGACCCAGAGAGACUCCUUCACUGUUCAGGAAACACACUUAAUGGAGAUUUUGCAUCAGCAGCCAUUCCGGAAGAAAGCAGACUUAUGGCCAAGACAAAAUCUGAAUCUGAAAAACCUCUUCCACCCUUCUCC